UGGGAAAUCGGUGCAAAUUUCAUCACAAUAUCAUCUAGAUUCAAGUAUUAAAUGAUUGGUGAAUAGAUGACGGCUAUCAUUAUACCCAAAACACAUACCAAGUACCUAAGCAAAAUAUUGUGUUUUUCUCAGAUCGUUUCACCAAAGUCGCCGAUUUGACGCGGCCGUUACCAGUCUAUUUCAUACCUGAAGAAGCCGAAUUUAUUCAUUAACUUUAUAGCGAAUUUAUCAACUUUGUCCUUGACAACUCAUUUUCAAUCUUACUUGGCAAAUUUUGAUCUACAGAUGCGUUCCCUCGCCGCCGUUCUCUUGGCUGUGAUCAGCCUGAGCGCUUCAUGCCACGGCAAAAAAUACACGAGGUGCGCGCUUGCCAAGGAGCUGAAAUGCGUCUACGGCUUUGCGCAGAACAGCCUCGCCGACUGGGUGUGUUUGGUUCAGCAUGAGAGCUCCUUCGAUACCGCGGCUUUUCAUCAAAACACGGAUAGUCAUAAAAGUAAAGAUUAUGGCUUGUAGA
rnacentral:lncRNA from 1 species